rnacentral:rRNA from 1 species
ACGAACGCUGGCGGCGUGCUUCACACAUGCAAGUCGAACGGAAAGGCCCCUUUGGGGGUACUCGAGUGGCGAACGGGUGAGUAACACGUGAGUAACCUGCCCUUGACUUCGGGAUAACUUCAGGAAAUUGGGGCUAAUACCGGAUAGGAAUCCUUGCUGCAUGGUGGGGGUUGGAAAGCUUCGGCGGUUUUGGAUGGACUCGCGGCUUAUCAGCUUGUUGGUGGGGUAGUGGCUUACCAAGGCUUUGACGGGUAGCCGGCCUGAGAGGGCGACCGGCCACAUUGGGACUGAGAUACGGCCCAGACUCCUACGGGAGGCAGCAGUGGGGAAUAUUGCACAAUGGGCGGAAGCCUGAUGCAGCAACGCCGCGUGCGGGAUGACGGCCUUCGGGUUGUAAACCGCUUUCAGCAGGGGCGAAGCUUGUGGUGACGGUACCUGCAGAAGAAGCACCGGCUAACUACGUG